AGUGAACGCUGGCGGUAGGCCUAACACAUGCAAGUCGAACGGCAGCACAGUAAGAGCUUGCUCUUACGGGUGGCGAGUGGCGGACGGGUGAGGAAUACAUCGGAAUCUACUUUUUCGUGGGGGAUAACGUAGGGAAACUUACGCUAAUACCGCAUACGACCUACGGGUGAAAGCAGGGGAGCUUCGGACCUUGCGCGACUGAAUGAGCCGAUGUCGGAUUAGCUAGUUGGUGAGGUAAAGGCCCACCAAGGCAACGAUGCGUAGCCGGCCUGAGAGGAUGAGCGGCCACACUGGAACUGAGACACGGUCCAGACUCCGACGGGAGGCAGCAGUAGGGAAUCUUCCGCAAUGGGCGAAAGCCUGACGGAGCAACGCCGCGUGAGUGAUGAAGGUCUGCGGAUCGUAAAACUCUGUUAUUAGGGAAGAACAUAUGUGGAAGUAACUGUGCACAUCUUGACGGUACCUAAUCAGAAAGACACGGCUAACUACGUG
rnacentral:rRNA from 1 species